GUGUCAGCAGCCGCGGUAAGACAGAGGGUGCAAACGUUGCUCGGAAUUACUGGGCGUAAAGCGCGUGUAGGCGGACCGGAAAGUCGGGCGUGAAAUCCCUGGGCUCAACCCAGGAACUGCACUCGAAACUUCCGGCCUUGAGUGGUGGAGAGGGUAGUGGAAUUCCUGGUGUAGAGGUGAAAUUCGUAGAUAUCAGGAGGAACACCGGUGGCGAAGGCGGCUACCUGGACACCAACUGACGCUGAGACGCGAAAGCGUGGGGAGCAAACAGGAUUAGAAACCCUCGUAGUCC
rnacentral:rRNA from 1 species